rnacentral:lncRNA from 1 species
AUGCUGGCGAGUACAUAGGUUUUGCGUGAGCGUCAGAUUCAUGGCUCGUUUGCAUGUCGAAAUAACUCGUAUAACUUCGUUAAUCGACAUUAGAAACCUUGUUUUUGUAAAAUAUUUGUAUCGUAAUAUGAAUAACCGAAUCAAAAUAGUUUGGUUAUAAUUUGUAAACCUCGAGACCAUGAAUCUUUACCCAAAACAUUUGCUUUCGUAAACCAAAUCGUAAAUCAUUUUCGUAAUAAAAUUCGUAUAGUUUAUAUCGUUUCGAAAACCUCGUUUGUGUGACAUCGCUUCCAAUCGUUUACCCAGAUCGUUUAAUUAGUUAAACAUCUCUUUAGUCGUUUAAAUCAUUCUCGUUUUAGAUUGUGAAACUACUUUUGGUCGUCUCGUUAACAACAUUCAAACCUUUGUGACUCGUUCAUCGUUCCACUUGUUCUCGUAUUAACAAACCACCAAAGGGUAAGUUAACAAUCAUCAGAUUCGGUCGUUACCCACCUAACCCACACAUAACCAUGGGUAGGGGUUCUGAUAACGGGAUUUGUCGGAUCCUAUGGUACCAUAACCUAAUACUGGUCGGUUUGGCCGAAAUUAAUGAAUGUCAUUUGUUAUGUAAUUACAACCAACAAGCUCGUUCACAUUAUCGAAAUCGUUAUUAGUUUGAUAUAAACCAUCUUACUCGUUGUGAAACCAUCGUUAAAACAUCGAAAUCGUUUUGAUACAUAUGAAU